rnacentral:rRNA from 1 species
UACCAGCUCUCCGAGUGGUAGGGAUGAUUAUUGGGCUUAAAGCGUCCGUAGCCGGCUUAGCAAGUCUCCUGUUAAAUUCAGCGACCUAAUCGUUGAGCCGCGGGAGAUACUACUAGGCUAGGAGGCGGGAGAGGUCGACGGUACUUCUGGGGUAGGGGUGAAAUCCUAUAAUCCCGGGAGGACCACCAGUGGCGAAGGCUGUCGACUAGAACGCGCUCGACGGUGAGGGACGAAAGCUGGGGGAGCGAACCGGAUUAGAUACCCGGGUAGUCCCAGCUGUAAACGAUGCGGGCUAGGUGUUGGGGUGGCUACGUGCCACUUCAGUGCCGCGAGGGAAGCCAUUAAGCCCGCCGCCUGGGGAGUACGGCCGCAAGGCUGAAACUUAAAGGAAGUUGGCGGGGAGCACCACAAGGCGUGAAGCUUGCGGUUC